CGGGACGGGUGGGUAAUGUCUGGGAAACUGCCUGAUGGAGGGGGAUAACUACUGGAAACGGUAGCUAAUACCGCAUAACGUCGCAAGACCAAAGAGGGGGACCGUUAGGGCCUCUUGCCAUCGGAUGUGCCCAGAUGGGAUUAGCUAGUAGGUGGGGUAACGGCUCACCUAGGCGACGAUCCCUAGCUGGUCUGAGAGGAUGACCAGCCACACUGGAACUGAGACACGGUCCAG
rnacentral:rRNA from 1 species